GACGAACGCUGGCGGCGUGCUUAACACAUGCAAGUCGAACGAAAAGAGGGAAAGAGCUUGCUCUUUCCGGAAUUGAGUGGCAAACGGGUGAGUAACACGUAAACAACCUGCCUUCAGGAUGGGGACAACAGACGGAAACGACUGCUAAUACCGAAUAAGUUCCAAGGGCCGCAUGGCCCAUGGAAGAAAAGGUGGCCUCUACCUGUAAGCUAUCGCCUGAAGAGGGGUUUGCGUCUGAUUAGCUGGUUGGAGGGGUAACGGCCCACCAAGGCGACGAUCAGUAGCCGGUCUGAGAGGAUGAACGGCCACACUGGAACUGAGACACGGUCCAGACUCCUACGGGAGGCAGCAGUGGGGAAUCUUCCGCAAUGGGCGAAAGCCUGACGGAGCAACGCCGCGUGAGUGAUGACGGCCUUCGGGUUGUAAAACUCUGUGAUCCGGGACGAAAAGGCAGAGUGCGAAGAACAAACUGCAUUGACGGUACCGGAACAGCAAGCCACGGCUAACUACGUG
rnacentral:rRNA from 1 species